GAAGGGACCUAGCGUAGUUCGGAAUUACUGGGCUUAAAGAGUUCGUAGGUGGUUAAAAAAGUUGGUGGUGAAAGCCCAGAGCUUAACUCUGGAACGGCCAUCAAAACUUUUUAGCUAGAGUAUGAUAGAGGAAAGCAGAAUUUCUAGUGUAGAGGUGAAAUUCGUAGAUAUUAGAAAGAAUACCAAUUGCGAAGGCAGCUUUCUGGAUCAUUACUG
rnacentral:rRNA from 1 species